rnacentral:rRNA from 1 species
AAGUCAUCAUGCCCCUUAUGUCCAGGGCUUCACACAUGCUACAAUGGCUGGUACAGAGGGCUGCGAUACCGCGAGGUGGAGCGAAUCCCUUAAAGCCGGUCUCAGUUCGGAUCGCAGUCUGCAACUCGACUGCGUGAAGUCGGAGUCGCUAGUAAUCGCAGAUCAGCAACGCUGCGGUGAAUACGUUCCCGGGCCUUGUACACACCGCCCGUCACGUCAUGAAAGUCGGUAACACCCGAAGC